rnacentral:lncRNA from 1 species
GGAACCCGAGGCGAGAGAUCACCUCGCGGCGGAGCGGGGGAGGGACAUCUCCUCCCCCCAGCACACGGCCUGUCCUCGGCUCCCCUCCGCCGGGCACGCGGCGGAGGCGGCGGCCCGCGAAGGUGGUCUCGCUUUAUUGCAAGGGCAAACCUGCUGAUGCGCCGCCGCCUCCGCCGGGGCAGGCGAACCUGGCCGGCAGCACCGAGGCGGGGGCGUUUGGGGAGGGAGGAGGUCGUAGGGGAGAGCCGAGCACGUAAAGAUAGAAGCAGGCGUGGCAGGAGGGAGCCUGAGCUUUCCGGUGGAACACAUGACAGCAGGGACCUGCUCCAGGCAUUUUCAAGAUCAGUUCCUUGGGCUGCUCUAAGGCAACAAAAGUAUGCCAGGAGUCUCAACAGGGGCAUCUGCAAACUGGACUGGAGAAUCUUCACGACUCAGGUUGUUUAGAGAACAGUAAUUAUGCGUGGAGUUGCUGGUUUUGUGUGUCUGUAUAAGCCUGUGCUAGACUCAUUCACACCUGGUACUCUGAACAAAGGCAGUCUAAGCUCAGGUAAUCUGCAGAAAUGCUGUGGGUUCACCCUACCUGAUUUCAGAGGGCAUACUUGUAUUUCUAAAUAAUAAUAAAAAAUAAAGUCCCUGAUGUUAAGAAAGACUU